rnacentral:rRNA from 1 species
GACGAACGCUGGCGGCGUGCCUAAUACAUGCAAGUAGAACGCUGAAGGAGGAGCUUGCUUCUCUGGAUGAGUUGCGAACGGGUGAGUAACGCGUAGGUAACCUGCCUGGUAGCGGGGGAUAACUAUUGGAAACGAUAGCUAAUACCGCAUAAGUGUAGAUGUUGCAUGACAUUUGCUUAAAAGGUGCAAUUGCAUCACUACCAGAUGGACCUGCGUUGUAUUAGCUAGUUGGUGGGGUAACGGCUCACCAAGGCGACGAUACAUAGCCGACCUGAGAGGGUGAUCGGCCACACUGGGACUGAGACACGGCCCAGACUCCUACGGGAGGCAGCAGUAGGGAAUCUUCGGCAAUGGACGGAAGUCUGACCGAGCAACGCCGCGUGAGUGAAGAAGGUUUUCGGAUCGUAAAGCUCUGUUGUAAGAGAAGAACGAGUGUGAGAGUGGAAAGCUCACACUGUGACGGUAUCUUACCAGAAAGGGACGGCUAACUACGUG